rnacentral:misc_RNA from 1 species
ACACGGGCGGCUGGCGCGCAGGGGGUCCGAAAAUGGCAGCUCCCCGGUCGGCACGUAGCCAAAUCGGCCGUAAUAAGGGGGCAAUUCUUCGCGCAGAUUCACAAUGUGGAUGUCCACAAACCGGCAGCCGCGGGCUCGUGCCCGCGUUUCGACG